GUGGGGAAUCUUGCGCAAUGGGCGAAAGCCUGACGCAGCCAUGCCGCGUGAAUGAUGAAGGUCUUAGGAUUGUAAAAUUCUUUCACCGGGGACGAUAAUGACGGUACCCGGAGAAGAAGCCCCGGCUAACUUCGUGCCAGCAGCCGCGGUAAUACGAAGGGGGCUAGCGUUGCUCGGAAUUACUGGGCGUAAAGGGCGCGUAGGCGGACAGUUUAGUCAGAGGUGAAAGCCCAGGGCUCAACCUUGGAAUUGCCUUUGAUACUGGCUGUCUUGAGUACGGGAGAGGUGAGUGGAACUCCGAGUGUAGAGGUGAAAUUCGUAGAUAUUCGGAAGAACACCAGUGGCGAAGGCGACUCACUGGCCCGUUACUGACGCUGAGGCGCGAAAGCGUGGGGAGCAAACAGGAUUAGAACCCCAGUAGUCC
rnacentral:rRNA from 1 species